CUUUGUCAGGGCACGUUUUCUGCAGUGCCCUGAGUGCAACAGCAAAUGCAACGGAAGGCAAAGGAAACAAGAAGCCUGCAGGUACAGCCAGACCCUUCAGGACCCUUAUGUGAGCCUCGGAGCAAAAAGCCCUACUUCUAGUUGCACUGAUCCUACUAUGGAGGUGAACUGAAGCUCCCAGCAAGUCAGUGAUUUCCCCAGCCAUAAAAAAGGCACCAUUCUGAC